rnacentral:rRNA from 1 species
AGUGAACGCUGGCGGUAGGCCUAACACAUGCAAGUCGAACGGCAGCACAGUAAGAGCUUGCUCUUACGGGUGGCGAGUGGCGGACGGGUGAGGAGUACAUCGGAAUCUACUUUUUCGUGGGGGAUAACGUAGGGAAACUUACGCUAAUACCGCAUACGACCUACGGGUGAAAGCAGGGGAUCUUCGGACCUUGCGCGAUUGAAUGAGCCGAUGUCGGAUUAGCUAGUUGGCGGGGUAAAGGCCCACCCAGGCGACGAUCCGUAGCUGGUCUGAGAGGAUGAUCAGCCACACUGGAACUGAGACACGGUCCAGACUCCUACGGGAGGCAGCAGUGGGGAAUAUUGGACAAUGGGCGCAAGCCUGAUCCAGCCAUACCGCGUGGGUGAAGAAGGCCUUCGGGUUGUAAAGCCCUUUUGUUGGGAAAGAAAAGCAGCAGGUUAAUACCCCGCUGUUCUGACGGUACCCAAAGAAUAAGCACCGGCUAACUUCGUG